rnacentral:rRNA from 3 species
CCUGGUUGAUCCUGCCAGUAGUCAUAUG